rnacentral:lncRNA from 1 species
GUCAACAGCGGAAGAGUGGGGGAGGUUCGGCCGAAGGUGCAACGGAGCCGGCGAGUGCAGCAACGACGGCAGGAGAACGCGAGCAAGUGGCAGCGUGAUUUUGAUCUCAAAAUGACAGGUGAGUUGAGGGCUUUCUUUUAGCAGUAGCAGCGUCGACGUUGGUGGCCGGAGGAAGGAGUUCUGGUGAACUGAUCGCAGCC